UCUGGCCUUGGGAAAGUGAAUUGGCCUGAAUAUCAAGGAGGAGAACUUGGGUGUGGAAAUACCGGGACUUGUUUGGAGCUUCUAGCAAGGGAGCACUGCUACGCAUAUGCCCUUACGGAAAAAUCAUCCUCCUCUAUGGAGUUCCUCACAAGGCCAUCUGGACUAAAGAAGAGGGUUCCUAGUUUCCCUUCAAGCUAAGUGAAUUUGUGUACUGGACAACAGGAUGUCAGAAGACAUAAUCUCUGCCACUUUAGGAGUGGGCAUUGGAGAUUGAAGCUGAGAUCAAUGGCAGACGGCAGCAUGGCUUGCACGUGAUUUAUCUGUUCGGCAUAGCAGAAGUGAUUGAGACAGAGAUGGAAUCUCACUGUAUCGCUCAGGCUGGAGUGCAGUGGCCACAAAGUGGGAGUUGAAGAAUGAAGUAAAAUGAAGAAGGGUAUUCAAAGAUGUCUAAUUCCAAAUGUGGGUUUAAAGGAAUUCACCUAAGAACACAUGGGAUUGGCACGAGGGACACCAACACUGGAAUACGUGAUGAGAUGUGUGAAGAGCAUGGCAAUGGAUGCAAACUCCCUUUGUGUUUCUGGCUUUAAGCAGCUCUGUACUCUCAUGCUCUCCUACACUCAGCAGCAAUUUGUUACAAGUUUGGCGAAAUUCUUCCUACUCUUUUGAACUCCAGCCCAAUUUCCUUACUGUCACUGCCCUAGGUCUUACUCUUCCAGAAGAAAAAGGGAAAACUGAACCUGAAUGUCCCCUAAAAGUGAAGAAAUGUCCACACUUCUAUGUGCAGAUUAGUAAGAACUUCCUCUCAUUUCAAUUUACCUCCUUGGCUGGAAUGAAGUGAGUGCUGGUAAAAUUGCUUCCUCUUACCCCCGGCUGGUGAUCGACGCAGGACUGUGCUUUCCCUGGACAUGAUGAAAACACAAGAUUGAGUGCCAUCCUAUUUAUUGUUGUGGUUGUCCUAAUCUAGACUAAGCCUACUUUUGAAGUUUCCUGGAUGCAAAGUAGACCUUUGGAAUCUACAUUCAACAUUUGAUACUGUGUGUGACUCCUGAUGAACAUGCUGAAGAUACAUGAUGUCCAGUAAUUUUUACUGGGGAUAAUACCUACAACAUACAUAAGACGAUGUUAUUAAAGUACAUUUAAAAUUACGCAAGACAUUUUAAAAUUACAUAAGUGUAUAUAAAGAGUUUAACACAAAUUUCAAUUACCUUGGCUUAAGAUGAUUUAGCUGUUUUGUAAGUUAACAAAGACCUACCAUUUACUUCCUAUUUAGUCUAUGGCUGAAUUUGGCAUUUUUGAAAAUCUUUUGAUAGCCUCUGAGAACUUACUAUUAUUUGUACCAAUUUACUUCCUAAUGAAAGCUAUUAACAAGAUUUAUUUUAGGAAGUUUAUCUCAGACAAGUUUAUGUCCUUAUGGAGCUUACAAUCUUAAUUUCAAAGAUGAAAAGGAAAGUCGUGUGUGAAACAGCACAGAGUACUUUACAGCUUGUUCCAAGAGCUACAGGGAGCAGCAUGGACAGUGGAAACUCACAUAAAGUUCUUCAAAAUUUACUGUUUCUUUUGCUCCUGAAAAUUGUAAUCAGUUCCUCCUUUCCUACUUAACAUGAAAAAUAAGUCCAAUGGAAUAGUCUGUUGAUUAAUAAAGUUCUAUCAUUUCUUCUUCAUGAAAUGACUAAUUUAACAAAUUAAAUCCUUCAUUUAUUAAGGUUUGU